rnacentral:lncRNA from 1 species
CAUAUGAGUCGAGCCGAUGCUCGACGACAAAGUUUGCUAAACGGUGCUCCUUAUCCCUGGGCAAGCCGAACAGAAGCCUGAUGAUGACAUUCGCCAAACCAUGCUUCUCAUCCUCAUAUGGGCCGAGCAGGGGGGCGAGCUCCUGGAUGAGUGAUUUACUCAAACCCAACUCACCUCACAUUGUCCCAGAGUAGAAACUCUCAUAAACCAGAGAUCAGAUCGAUUGGCUAUGGGAAUUUGACCCCUAGGACUCAGACUUAUUACUAAUGAGCAAAGUUGAAAAUUUAUGAAGAUGAUGUGAAAAAGUUGGAGUUUGCAUAGAAAAAGAAUGUUUAUACGGUGUUUAGGUCAAUCCCCUAAAAAAAAAACUUCGAUCCAAAACCAAAGAACACAAAAUGGGCCGACCAUGAAACUAGCUCGAACAUAUCCGAGCUUGAGUACAAGAAAUAAAGAAGAAAGAAAAGUCCUAGGUGCUGGUGGGGGCAUCUGAGCCCCUAAUAGGGCCUCUGGGCUUUGGAAGCAUGAUCACUAUGGGAGGACGGGUGGUUGCUACAUCUUCAGCUGUCUGGCCUCUGCCUUGACUUGUACUACUCACUUCGUGGUGACUUCGACUUGUUCUCCUUCCUCGUUGUCUAAAUCUCAUUGUCUAAAUCUAGAGAUCGGAGGUCGAGAUUGGGGAAGUGGCCUCAAACUUUCACCUUGAAG